GACGAACGCUGGCGGCGCGCCUAACACAUGCAAGUCGAACGAGCGAGAGGGAGCUUGCUUUCUCGAGCGAGUGGCGAACGGGUGAGUAACGCGUGAGGAACCUGCCUCAAAGAGGGGGACAACAGUUGGAAACGACUGCUAAUACCGCAUAAGCCCACGGUGCCGCAUGGCACCGAGGGAAAAGGAGCAAUCCGCUUUGAGAUGGCCUCGCGUCCGAUUAGCUAGUUGGUGAGGUAAUGGCCCACCAAGGCGACGAUCGGUAGCCGGACUGAGAGGUUGAACGGCCACAUUGGGACUGAGACACGGCCCAGACUCCUACGGGAGGCAGCAGUGGGGAAUAUUGCACAAUGGGGGAAACCCUGAUGCAGCGACGCCGCGUGGAGGAAGAAGGUCUUCGGAUUGUAAACUCCUGUUGUUGGGGAAGAUAAUGACGGUACCCAACAAGGAAGUGACGGCUAACUACGUG
rnacentral:rRNA from 1 species